CUAGACCCUUUUUCUUUGCUUUCCUCUGUUGCAGAGGCUGGGAGGUAAUUUACCCUCCCAAACUCCCUUGCAGUUAGAGGAGGUCAGGUGACUGUGUCUGGGUCAUUAAACAUAGGCAGAGGCUCUAUCCAGGCUGUUGAUUCCAAAAUACACCCAGAAGAUUUUUUUAAAAAAAAUCCCUGUUCCUUUUGCCCUUUUUUCUUUCCUGGAUACAUAGCAAAGCCACCACCAUAAUGGCAAGGCAGGAAGACAGACUGAGCCUGAUUCCUGGACAUCCCUCAACUGUACUGCCUAGAAAAGCUACCUAUCUUCAACCAUCUUGUUACAGGAGAAAAAGACACCUCUCACUGUGUUAGCCACUGAAGUAGUUAUUAAUUAGGUAUUAGCACCAUCUUAAGAGACACCAACAUUACUUUCAUCCACCAUAUAUGAACAUAGUGUAACUCCACAUCAUGUAUAACCACAAGAAUGGGAAGUUAUACUCCAUGUAUGGAAAGCAACUGAAUUUUUUUUUAAAGUCACCAACCAUCAAAAGAAAAACAACAGAUUUCUGUUCAUAAAAAUACUGAAGUAUAUAGAAAAUAAUGUAAUGUUGAAGUAUUGAUGUGUGCUUAAAUGACCUUCAGAUAUGACUUUUAUUCCUAGAGAUAUUCCGGAAAUAUUUAUGCAAAAAGGAAUUAAUCCAUUUCCCCCCCCCCCAAACAUCACUGCUAUAGAAAGGAUGGUAGAAGUCCUUGUAGUUCAUUCUAGUGGCUUCCCAGGAAUAUUUCAUGUACCUGCUUUCUAUAAAGGAAGGAGCUACUUGGGUACUUAGUGUGUUAUCAUUAUGAUAAUUAUGCUUUCUUCUCACAUGAUAAGUUAGGAUUAGACUGCAAAUAAUGUGGAUUCCAUUGGCAGAAUAUAGACAGAAUUGAAAAUAAAGUGGUUCAAGAAGAAGACAAAUUUUAAAAAGAUGGGUUAGGAAAGAUGAAGAACUAUGUUCUUAGUUAAUUGAUAGCCAGGUAUAGUCUCAAUUCUUUCAAGUUCACUGACCAGAGAUAGCACUGGAGUUUCCCAAGAGUUACAGGUUCUGAGCCCAGAACCAAAGGAGAACCUUCCUGGGGAAGUCUGUGAACUCAUCCUUGCCUCUCAGACACCUCAAUAUGCUUAUUAUAUGCCAGGAGGGAAUUAGAAAAGAAAAGCCCUUUGUGUACCUGAGAAGAUAGUAGAAGGGGAUUUCUAAUUUUUAUAUAUCAUGGUCAUCCUAAAAAAAACUUGGGAUCCUAUAAUUUAUUGGAAAGAUGGUGCUGCAUUCAAGAAGCACAUUUUGACAGCUGUAAAGAAUUCAAGCCUCAACUUUACUUUUUCAUCGUCAAGACAUCCAUAAUGAGGCCACAACAAACUUACUGAAGAACUACUUCAAACAUGUAGGUACUUUCCAACAGCAUAGUCACUUCAACAUCUCUAACCCUCCUGCCCUUGAAGCAAAGUUUCCUUCUCACUCAGCCUAUUAUUAUCUAAAUCUUCUCAGGAUCUUGUCUGGCAAGAAUUUACACUUUAGGAUGUUGAGGAAGGGGAAAUGGAAUUGGCAAUUUAAUCAUAGAGUGACUUUUACACAAUGGGUGAGCAGGAAAUCUAUGAAUGUUCUCAUAGUAAUAAUUAUGUCCCAUUACAUCAGCUGAAUUACUACACAUCUCCACGUACCUCUUUUCAUAGCCAUAAAAUUUGAAUUCUAAUUGGAAUAUAAUAUUUUAAAGACUGAAAUUAUCAUAAAGAUCCAAAAUUGUUUUAAUAGAGUAGCAAAUUUCAAAAUGGAGCACAGUCCUUUUUAGAAUUUAUAGCCUUGUUUAUUUCACAUCAGUAAAUUAAAACAGUAUCUAUGGAAUACAGUUGUAUCACCUGUUUUACUCAGUUUCAAAGAAAAACUAACAAUAACCUAAAAGCCUUCCACAAAGACAGUGCUUCAUAAAAAAAACAACAAACAAACGAAAGAGUAGACUUGGAGGAAGAGCCAGAGCAUACUGAAUUUCAUUGAUUAAGAUCCUAAGAGUAGCAGAAUGUCACAGCUGGGAUGAAUUUUCCAGUCGUAGCCUUUACAAGGCCGCUUAGUUGAGAAUUUAGGAAACUGAGGCCACCGAUGUUAAACGGUCCCCUGGAAGUCACAGUACAGAGCCACACUGGAAUGGAGGACUGCUGACUCUAGUCCAGGUGCUGCUAAACUCCAUAAAGCCCUUUGUACAUCCGUCUUUGAAUUUACUGACACCUGCCCCAUCCCCACCCCCACUUUCUGAUGCUCUUUGGGAUCCACAAGUGACAGAGCUUCUUGAUGGGGCAGGGUAAGCCGGACAUCGACAUUCCAAAGCUAAGAAAUGCACAGUAAACACCUCAAAACUCAGACGGAAACAUUUGCUCAGCCUUUGUUAAAUCCAUGCAGCCUUCAUACAGAAAGACAGCAAGGGCUCCACCGUUUCUUUCGUUCAAAAAAUUGUAGGAAGGCAGAAUUUGGAAUGAUGAUGAUAAAAAGAAGACCUUGAGGAUCAGAUGCUUUAGACUCAGAUUUUUAAAAAAAUAUUUAUUUAUUUGUUUCUUUAUUUAUUUAUGGGACUAGAGAUAAACCCAGGACACUCUACCACCGAGCUACAUCCCAGCACUUUGUAUUUUUUUAUUUUGGCCUGGAACCUGUGAUCCAGUCUCUGAGAUCACAAGUGUGCACCACCACACGAGCUUUGACGCAGAAAUGAUGGCUGGAGGGCAAGGGCAGUGAUGGGUGAAAGGCUGUGAUGGGUGCAAGUGAUUUCCACCUUUACGAGAUGCCUUCCACUAAAGACGGGAUGUGUGUGCUUGGAGGACAGCCUGACCAACACUACUCAUAAGACAAAGUCUGAAUCCUGAAAAAAGUCAAUUUUUUGAGCAAGAGUUAUGCUGUGAUUGGCUCAAUGAUGCAGAAGGAUAGAUGAAGCCAGAGCAGGAAAGAAAGCUCUUCUUUUGUAGGGUCUGGGCUUCUUUCUCAGGCACACACAGUACCUGCUCUU
rnacentral:lncRNA from 1 species